CCUACGGGUGGCAGCAGUGAGGAAUAUUGGUCAAUGGACGAAAGCCUGAACCAGCCAUGCCGCGUGCAGGAUGACGGCUCUAUGAGUUGUAAACUGCUUUUGUAUUGGGGUAAACACCCAUAUGUGUAGUGCCUUGGAAUUAUAUUACGAAUAAGGAUCGACUAACUCCGUGCCAGCAGCCGCGGUAAUACGGAGGAUCCAAGCGUUAUCCGGAUUGAUUGGGUUUAAAGGGUGCGUAGGCGGUUUGGUAAGUUAGAGGUGAAAUACCGGUGCUCAACACCGGAACUGCAUCUAAUACUGUUGAGCUAGAGAGUAGUAGCGGUAGGCGGAAUGUAUGGUGUAGCGGUGAAAUGCUUAGAGAUCAUAAAGAACACCGAUUGCGAAGGCAGCUCACCAAAAUAUAACUGACGUUGAGGCACGAAAGCGUGGGUAGCAAACAGGAUUAGAUACCCCAGUAGUC
rnacentral:rRNA from 1 species